rnacentral:rRNA from 1 species
GAAAGUAAUAAAGAGCGUAUGGGGGAUGCCUAGGCUCUUGGAGGCGAAGAAGGACGUGGUAAGCUGCGAAAAGUCGCGGGGAUUUGCAAACGAGAAUUGAUCCGCGAAUAUCCGAAUGGGACAACCCGGCAGGCAGAAGGCCUGUCACCCAGCAAUGGGGGCUAACCCUCUGAACUGAAACAUCUAAGUAGGAGGAGGAGAAGAAAGAAACAUCGAUUUCCAAAGUAGCGGCGAGCGAAAUGGAAGGAGCCCAAACCGGUAUUGUUACGGCAAUGCCGGGGUUAUAGGACUGCGAGAUUCGAAGGACAAAGAACUGGAAAGAUUUGGAAAAGUCGACCAUAGAGAGUGAAAGUCUCGUACAGGUAAUUGAGUUCUAAGAUAGCAGUAUCCUGAGUAUGGCGGGACACGAGGAAUCCAGUCAGAAUUCGCCGGGACCACCCGGUAAGGCUAAAUACUCCCAAGAGACCGAUAGUGAACCAGUACUGUGAAGGAAAGGUGAAAAGAACCCCGAACAGGGGAGUGAAAAAGAACCUGAAACCAUACGCUUACAACCUGUCGGAGCGGCUUCGUGCCGUGACGGCGUGCCUAUUGAAUAAUGAGCCUACGAGUUACUAAUCACUGGCGAGGUUAAGUGCUAGGAAGCACGGAGCCGAAGCGAAAGCGAGUCUGAACAGGGCGUUUAGUCAGUGGUUGUAGACGCGAAACCUUGCGAUCUACCCUUGAGCAGGAUGAAGGUUGGGUAAAGCCAACUGGAGGUCCGAACGAAUAAGCGUUGAAAAGCUUCUCGAUGACUUGAGGGUAGGAGUGAAAGGCCAAUCAAGCUGGGAAAUAGCUCGUACUCCCCGAAAUGCCUUUAGGGGCAGCGUUGUAAUAAAGAGUCUACUGGAGGUAGAGCUACUGAUUGGAUGCGGGGGCUUCACCGCCUACCAAAUCCCGACAAACUCCGAAUGCCAGUAGUAUGAUUUACAGCAGUGAGCCACCGGGUGCUAAUGUCCGGUGACAAAAGAGGAACAACUCAGACCAGCAACUAAGGUCCCCAAGCGUAUGCUAAGUUGAACUAACGAUGUUUUGUUGCAUAGACAGCUAGGAUGUUAGCUUGGAAGCAGCUAUUCAUUCAAAGAGUGCGUAACAGCUCACUAGUCGAGCGACAAAGCGUGGAUAAUAAACGGGCAUCAAGCAUACCACCGAAGUUCUGGGCGCGAAAGCGCGGUAGGGGAGCAUUCCAUUCAGCGUUGAAGCAGCGUCGUGAGAUGUUGUGGAGCGUAUGGAAAAGCAAAUGUAGGCAUGAGUAACGAUAAUGCGGGAGAGUAACCCGCACACCGCAAGACCAAGGUUUCCUGAUCAACGCUAAUCGGAUCAGGGUUAGUCGGGUCCUAAGGGUAAGCCGAACGGCGAUCUCGAUGGAUAAUCGGUUAAUAUUCCGAUACUGACAUAUACCUCGAUGGAGAGACGAAAUCGCGUAAGUACCGCCUCCUGACGGAAUAGGAGGUUAAAGGGCGUAUGUAUAGGGGCAGAUUAAGAGUCAGUCCUUGCUGAAACCCGACAGUACAGAGAGCCUACGGGCAAUUUGAUAGUGUACCCAAGCAUGUUUCCGAGAAAAUCUUCUAAGUUAUAGUAUAUGUCACCCGUACCGUAAACCGACACAGGUGGUCGAGGAGAGUAUCCUAAGGUGCUCGAGUGAAUCACGGUUAAGGAACUAGGCAAAUUAACCCCGUAACUUCGGGAAAAGGGGUCCCUAUGAAAGUAGGGCGCAGCGAAGAGGUCCAGGCGACUGUUUAUCAAAAACACAGGGCUCUGCAAAUUCGAAAGAAGACGUAUAGGGCCUGACACCUGCCCGGUGCUGGAAGGUUAAGAGGGGAUGUCAUCGCAAGAGAAGCAUUGAAUCGAAGCCCCAGUAAACGGCGGCCGUAACUAUAACGGUCCUAAGGUAGCGAAAUUCCUUGUCGGGUAAGUUCCGAC